GGGGAUCUAUUAAGGUUAACCAAUUUUGAGAAAUUAAUACAAACACAUAAUCAAAUAUAAAUUAUAUGAAAUAUAUAAGAAAGGUUAAAAUUUGGGCCUUUUUAGCCCAUUUCAAAGUUGGCCAAUCUUUGGGCCUAUUCCUCUUGGACUUUUGGCCCUUUUCUGCAUCUUGUAUACCAGCUGUAUACUGAGCAUAUAUCAGCCACGUUUUUUCAGCGUUUUUGUGUAUACACACUAUAUCAGUGUGUAAACAUCUACAUGUCUGCUCCCGACUUUAUUCCAUCGUGUGCUGGCGUAUAUUAGCUGCCUUCGACCCAGAAAACCCGUAUAUCUAGCGUAUACCCUCCUUAUUUUCCAAGCUAGUCUCUUUAGACUUUUGGGACUUGAUCCUGGAGAGAUGUGAGGAGAUGGGGUCCUAUUGGACCCGGAUGGACAACCACAUGCAUCAAAUAAAAUAUAGGGAUUAGCCAUCAAUUCAAAGUGAAAUUAAUCAUAUCUAGACAUCUAAGUAAAACAUAUAAAUUCUUUUCAUGAUUCGAAAACAAAGCAUAAUUAUCUAUUAUUCUUUAAUAUGAAUGGGUUAUGACAAAAAUCAAAAAAGUCCAUUGAACUCUAGUACCAAAUCCAAUUUUUCCAACAGAGGUUUAGAAGCCAUUGGACACUAACCUGACAACAUGAAAUUCUACAAUAUUAAAUCCGACGAAGUAUAAAUAAGUUGCAUCUCCAAAUUUUCCCAUAACCGGAUAAAGUGAAGUUAUAAAAGUAAGUUAUAAGUGAGGAAUGGACACACACAUGUACAUACAGACUCGUUUUCGAUAAGAUGGAUGUAAAUAUGCACGAUUGCAUAUUUUCGGCUAUAUGCAGUAUUAACUUAAGGGAGCAUGAAACUACUAGAUGUUUAGCGGAUAAUUACUUCAACCUUUUAUUCAUGCUAGCUAUUCCGGUGCCAAAGAUUCGGUACUUGAUUUGACUCAUUUUUUCAUUCAAUAUAAUAAAUAAAUAAAAAUAAUUAAAAUAAAUAAAAAUAAAAUUGAUCCAAAAUCCCACACAAAAUAACAGCUACCCAUCUUUAAAAUUUAUAUAUAAACUGGAGAAAAAGGAAAGACAAGACAUACAUUGUCAAGGGAACCAUAGAGCAUCAUCAUUCAUGAGAUUGUGUUAAAUGCUACACUGUAUUAAAAUAAAAUCAUAUAGGCUAACCAGUAACUACCUAUUGGCCAAAUCCAUUGAUAGCAAUUUAAACUUAUCCCAAAAAUUCACUUAUACCCCUAAACUAAGGCCUGUACCUAUCAGACCACUAAACCUUCCGAAUUUUAUUCCAAUUGGACAUUUUUUGCCUAAUCAGCAAAAUGUAUAUAGAAUGUGUUACACUCGCGUGACAUGGCAAAAAUACCCAAUAAAAAAAAACACGUGGCAAAAAAAAAAUAUGAAAAAUUGCUGAUUUUUUUAUUUUUCUAUUUAUAUUUAAUAAUAAUUUUUUAAUUUAAAAAAAAAAAAGAAGAAAAAAACUGCCCUCACUCUCCAAUCAUCAUCUUCUUCACCCCCCCCCCCCCCCCCCCCCCCCACCACCCCUCUCCCGGCGUUUCACAGUUCUCUCACACACAUUCACUCACACGCACACAUAGUUCACACAUGCACGAGAGCAGCACCGCAGUCAACAUUUUCUGGCGAGAUUCGCCGGAAAAUCAACUCCAAAAUCACACAAACACACAUUCACUCUCACACACACAGUUCACUCACAAACACACACAUUCACUCUCACACACACAGUUCACUCACAAACACACACAUUCACUCUCACACACACAGUUCACUCACAAACACACACAUUCACUCUCACACACACAGUUCACCCACACGAGAGAAGCAACACAGUCAAUAUUUUUCGGCGAGACUCGCCGGAAAAUCAACUCCAAAAAAAAAAAAAAAUUUCCAAAUCUUUGAUGUUGUUGAUAAUGGUGAAAAAUGGUUACUCAUUGUGUGCUUAAUGGAGUUUCUCCAUUUUUUGAUGUUGUCUCUAAUGGUGAAGAUUGAUUAAUGAUUUUGUUGUUGUUCAUAGAGUUGUUAAUUUACAACUGAUUUGAUGGAUUUUGUUGUCUCGAAAUCAUGAAGAUUGACAAGGAUUUUGUUGUUGUGCUUAAUGAAGCUUCGAUUCUUCAAAUCUUGUUCACUGAUAAUUGUUAUGGGGGGAGAGGUAGGUGUUUCUGAAGAAGAUGAUGACUGUGGGGUGUGGGGGGAGCUUUUCUUUUUUCUAAAAAAAAUAAAUUAAAAUAUUAGAAUAAUUAAAAAUUAUAUUAAUAAAAUAAUUUAAAUAUAAAUUUUUUAAUAAAAAAAGUAAAAUAUUAUUUAAUUUACUGUUCACGUGCCCAAGGAGUCCUUGCCAUAUCAUCAUUUUAUGCCUGAUAGGUACCAAUUUUAGCACUUGAUAGGUACAAGCUUUAGUUGAGGGGUUUAAGUGAAUUUUCAGGACAAGUUUGAGGUCAUAUCGAUGGGUUUGGCCCUACCUAUUCUAUACCAUACAUUGAACAAACAUAGGAAAAAUGCAUCGUUUCCACCUCAAACUAUACCCGAAAAGUCGAAGUCACACCUAAACUAUACUAGUGAUCUAUUACACACCUAAACUAUAAAAAAGUGAAAUUAUUUACACCCUGUCAGGCUACCACCACUUACAUGUGGUGUAGUGAUUUACACGCGCUACCACGUCAGCACCACGUCAGUAAAAAGUAUCACUUUUUUAUAGUUAAGGUGUGUAAUAGGUCACUUAUAUAGUUUAGGUGUGAAUUCGACUUUUCGAUUAUAGUUUAAAGUGGAAACGAUGUCUUUUCCCUUAAUAUUUUUAGCCGUUUACUUUUGUUAUUUAAUAGGCUGGAUGCGCCUAAAAUAAGUGUAACACAUGCGUCUUAGAAUGGGGGUUGCGGGGAUGUAAUAAUAUUAUUUUUAUAUAGUUAAGGUGUGUAAUAGAUUACUUAUAUAAUUUAGGUGUUACUUAAAAAGUAUGGGAUGAAAAUUAUGCAUUUUCCCAACAAACAUAAGCAAAUCCUAAAAUUCAAACUCAUUGUAUACCAUACAUUGAACAUAAAUAACUUUUUUGGUACUGCCUAAUGUAUUGGCUCCCACCAGCUAGUGCUACUGCCUAACUUUUGUAUCAUAUAUUUCCCCCCUUCUUUUUUUAUUUUCACUUCUCUUUUUUUUUUUUUCACAAAUUCACAACUACUGCUUUAAUAUACCUAAAAUUUGGUUUUACACGAUUUAAGCAUUUAACCACCAUGAGAAACAAAACCUCAAUCAACAACACUUCAGCAGCCAAAGAGCAAGCAGUAACGUAAUACCCUGUUUCUAAUUUAUUAUUAUAUCAAAUAUUCACCAAAUAUAGCCACAGCCUGAAAAUAUGCAAAUUUACAACCACCAGUUAUAGCAUUUAUCUAAAUAACCAUACAUGAACCACUUCGACAGGGAAAUUAUGACUUUCGAUUCCCAACAUCAAAGAGUAUCACAAAAAAAAUGAAGCUCUCACCAAUUUUGGAGCAGCAACUAGGACAAACGAGCUUUUAAGUGACCGAAAUUCCACCACCUAGGCUCGAUUCCGAUCACUGGUAUUCCAACAAAUGGUCUAAUUUUUGUUGGUUUGAGUACUCGUCGAGGAUUUUCGGUUGCGUGAGAUUAGAAGCGUGCGCCUCCAGAAUCUCCAAAUUUUUCCCCAAAAAUCCUCUUCUUUUCCAUGGUGAGGGAGAGGCUAUUUACAGAUGAAAUCCGGAUUUGAAAAAAUAAUUUUUGCAAAAGUUGGGACGGAAUUUGAAUUCUAAUUCAACCAAGAAUCCCCUCCAUAUCUUGCAUUAAUGACAAAUUCAGAGCAAAUUUCCGUUGUAACACCAUUUGGGGACUGUUUCUCCUGCCAUUGUUGGCUUCAAAGGCUGACAGGGCUAGAAAUAGAUGAUGACGCGGCUAGGGUUUUUGGGGUUUGACGCCGUUUGGUCGUUGUUGACGGGUACGCCGUUUGUUGGCUGUUUGAGGUUGGUCGUUGUUCUGUUCGUACGUUUGUACGUUGUUGAAUGUUGUUGCUGUACGCGCUGGUGUAUAAGGGAAAUGAGAAGGAAUUGGAAGAUUGGGCCAGGUAUGGGAGGUCUGUUGGGCUGGUUGUUGUUGGGCCGAUUAAGGGGAAAAGGAAAAGGGAUUUGGGUCGGGUGAGUGAAUUGGGCUGAUGUUGGUACUGUUCUUGUUUGUGUUAUGUUGGUAAGGGAGAAAGGAAUAAGGAGAAGGGGGAAUGGGCUGUUGGUUUGUAUUAAGCGGGUAUUUUAAUUAGCUAAUUUGAUUUAAAAUUUAGCCAAAUCAAAAGUAAAUUUGUCAAUUGUGUCACAAUUAUAAUCUAAUUAAUUUUAAUUAUGGACGAAUUCAAUUAAUUGACAAAAUUAAAUCAUAAUUCGAAAUAAAUUAACAAUUUGUUUAAUCCCGAGUUUUUUUGAUAAAUAUUUUUAUUUUAUUUUGUUUUAUUUCAUUUUCAAAAUAAAUUGUUUUGAGGCUAAAUUGUGUUUAAAUUAAAAUUUUAACCGUACAAAUCAAUUUUCUAGAUAACCCUGGGUUAAAGUUUAAUUUUUCAUCAAAUAGUUAUUUAAAUAAAAAAAUUAUAUAAUUUUGUGUAAGAGAAUAAGAAAUAUGUAAUCGUUACUAAAAUGACAAAAUCACCCAGAUAAAUACUUUGAAAAUUUUUUAUUUAAAUAAAACAAAUAUUGUAAUUUUAUUUAAAAUCGAAGAAACUCAUAUUCAAACUUAGUCGUAUAGGGCAAAAAUUAAGUGUCAACACUGAUUACUGAUAACUGAAAGUUAUGAUCGUGUAGAACUAAACUAAGUUUUGUACUGAAUACUGAAUUACUGAAACUGAGACUGUGGGAGUUAUCAUCUAACUAACAUACCCCGAUUAUAGAUUGAUUUGGAGUCCAACCUGUAACCCCAGCUGGAAGGGUGUUAGCACCGUUCCACGGGUUACUAACACUGGAUGGGCCAACCCUAAUCUGGCAGGAAGACUCAUGGGAUGUAUAUGAUUACGUCAACCCUAGUCUGGCAGGAGGACGAUUUACUCUACGUUGGCUACGUAGUUCUGUAACUCAGGGACUACUACUAAGGCCCUAUACCAGAAGGAAUGCCCCCAUCCCUAAGUUCGCUCAGUGUUGAAUCCUACUCCCAACUAA
rnacentral:lncRNA from 1 species